rnacentral:rRNA from 1 species
GAUGAACGCUGGCGGCGUGCCUAAUACAUGCCGGUCGAGCGAACAGACGAGGAGCUUGCUCCUCUGACGUUAGCGGCGGACGGGUGAGUAACACGUGGAUAACCUACCUAUAAGACUGGGAUAACUUCGGGAAACCGGAGCUAAUACCGGAUAAUAUAUUGAACCGCAUGGUUCAAUAGUGAAAGACGGUUUUGCUGUCACUUAUAGAUGGAUCCGCGCCGCAUUAGCUAGUUGGUAAGGUAACGGCUUACCAAGGCGACGAUGCGUAGCCGACCUGAGAGGGUGAUCGGCCACACUGGAACUGAGACACGGUCCAGACUCCUACGGGAGGCAGCAGUAGGGAAUCUUCCGCAAUGGGCGAAAGCCUGACGGAGCAACGCCGCGUGAGUGAUGAAGGUCUUCGGAUCGUAAAACUCUGUUAUUAGGGAAGAACAAAUGUGUAAGUAACUAUGCACGUCUUGACGGUACCUAAUCAGAAAGCCACGGCUAACUACGUG